UCUGUUUCCCCUGAAGCCUUCGUAUCCCAAGAGAAUCGGAAAUGGUCAAGCUGCUAAUUUCAUACUACAAUGGAAGUUGAACUCACGAAAAAUUUUUAUUUGGAUUUAAUUUAUAAUAAAUUUAAAAUAUAAAUAUAUAUUUAAUAGAUAAAAUAUGAACAUGUAUUUAAUAAAUAACAAUUUAUAGUUAAAAAGGAAGCAUACGGAGGUGAAAUAG
rnacentral:misc_RNA from 1 species